UGCGCCUUGCCAGCCCGCUCAGAAACUCAAAUGAAUUGACGGGGACCCGCACAAGCGGUGGAUGAUGUGGAUUAAUUCGAUGCAACGCGAAAAACCUUACCUACCCUUGACAUGUCUGGAACCUUUGCUGAGAGGCGAGGGUGCCUUCGGGAGCCAGAACACAGGUGCUGCAUGGCUGUCGUCAGCUCGUGUCGUGAGAUGUUGGGUUAAGUCCCGCAACGAGCGCAACCCUUGUCAUUAGUUGCUACAUUUAGUUGGGCACUCUAAUGAGACUGCCGGUGACAAACCGGAGGAAGGUGGGGAUGACGUCAAGUCCUCAUGGCCCUUAUAGGUGGGGCUACACACGUCAUACAAUGGCCGGUACAAAGGGCUGCCAACCCGCGAGGGGGAGCUAAUCCCAUAAAACCGGUCGUAGUCCGGAUCGUAGUCUGCAACUCGACUACGUGAAGUCGGAAUCGCUAGUAAUCGUGGAUCAGAAUGUCACGGUGAAUACGUUCCCGGGUCUU
rnacentral:rRNA from 1 species